GUUCUUCCCCACGGGCAUCACUCCUAAUCCCCUAAUUAUUUCCCAUCAUGCUCCAUCUCUUAAAGGUCCCACACCACCUUCCAGCCCUGCCCUCCACACUCCCAGCAUAUGAACCACCGGGCCCCAAUCAUGGCCAAGCAACAGCACUACUCCAUAUGGGAAAGACAGAAAUCUCAAGCUGGACCUCUGAAUGAAGAAACAAAAUAUUUCUAGCCCAGAAUGUGUGCAUGAAUGCAUACUUGAUCCUGCACCACAUUUUAAAAGUUUUCUUGGAUUUGAUGAAGAAAGGGAAGGUCCCAGAAUGGAAGAAAAGACUGGUAGACUCUAGUUAUCUUCCACAAUUCACUGAUUCUCAUCUUCAUUCAUUCAUCCUCAUAUGCUCUCUCCUCCAGCUCCUUCCCACUUCUCCCUCUUUUUUUUCAUCCUCCCUCUCUGUGGGUUUAGCCCAGCACAUGGCCCCUGCCUAGACAGCCAGACACUGCAUUUAACAGCUGCCUAGGUUUGGCAGUGUGACUUAAAUUCUUGGUGAUGGAAUGUAAGCAGAUGUGAUCUGUCUAAUUUAGUUAAAAGAAAAUUGCAGUUCACUUCCUCUCCAGUGAGGAAAUGGGACCAUGAAUGUGGCUUUGGAUCCAGACAGUGAAGAGCUUUGGAGAAAAUGGUAGAGCUGACCCACCAGCCGGGUCCCUAGAUGACCUCCAGAAGCUGUCAGUCUCAACCAGGAAGAAACAAGCAAGUCAGUCUCGCUUUGGACCUCCUUGUUAAA